CCCCACGUCCUCGUCUCCAUUCUUUCUUCCUCAUGCUCUGGCGGCACUGGGUGGUACCGGCGGGGAUUCGGCUGGAUCAUCGACAACCAGGAGCCGGCGCGACCGGCUGCAGGCUCUGUGACGAUGGAGGCAUGGUGGUGUGAGUGGUAGCGAGAGUAGAGGAAAUGGUGGUGCAGUGCCCUGUGGAACCAGUAGUAGAGAAACUCAACAGGUCCUGCGUGAAGCAACGCCAUGAUGAUGGCUCCCUUUGUUUCCCACAUUGGCAUGAGUCUGACACUCGGGAUGGCUGCAUAGGCCAAGUAGAAAUACAGCCCAGAGAGGAUGAUCUGGUCAUCCCUGUAGAGAAUGGUAUGUGCUAGUUAAUUUGAGUGUGAUAGAAGUGAAUAGCAGGAUGUGCGUAUAUAUGACUUACCAGGAUCUCUCCCGGUCCACCUGCUCGAAUUCAAGACUGCGGUCAACGAUGAUGUGCUUCCUGCGUGCGGUCUGGUGGCGAGACAAGCUAAUCCAGAUCUGAUUGUGGAGCAUCCUCAGAAGCAGAGCUGGCAAGAUGGCGGCGUAGGCUAGGUUCAUGUCCCCCCACCCCUUGGUGACCACCCUGUAUGCAGUUUGCAACGCCACAGGUGCGAAGACCAGGUGGUAAUCCGAUCUUUGAUCGUUUGGAAGCUAUUCUCGUGGCUUCAAGUUUGCAAACGUCUUCAUUUUGAAGAGAAAAGGGGGUUUAUCUAUGUCCAUUCAGUUGGUUAUGUGUGUGAACUAUGUGAAAAGUAAAGCUAUUGCCGGCGGUUCAUAUUAGGAUCACAAGGCCAAGAAACGCAAACGGUUCGAGGUUCCAUGGGAACGACAUGAGCUGCCAAGCAAUAUAUCUUUACGAUCUGAUUGCUUUUAUCAGCGAUUUUACCGGUUCAUAUGUUACUGUACUCAGGUCGCUAUCCACCGUGCAAGAAGCAUUCAAAGGAAUUUUCAAAAGUUUUUCUGGAUCAUGUGAAAACUGAAAAGUACUCGGGGCGGCAACAUGGGACUGGAACGCUUAUGCUAGAAUAUACUAUUUGCAAUUUAAAAUACAGGUAAUUUUAUUUAAUUGAUAACAGAAUAAUCUGAGUGUUCACUGCGACAUGCAACUUUUGCUGCAAUUUCUGUUCUACUUGACUUUAGUACCGGGACAUUAUGAUGCAUAUAAAACUUUCUUUUAAUGCAAACUCUUUGAAGGCAAUCUCUAUAUGAAUAUAGGAAUAACCUCAUUGAAGUAGUUAGUUUAUUUUCUGGUCACUCAAUCAUACGAUGUUCCUAAAUUUGUGAACAUGGAUUUAGCUAGAUAGCAAUAUCAGAGAAGAGAUAACAUACCUUGAAGCUGCCCAUCCAGUGCCAUGGCCAUUCGGUCAAAGGGCCCGGCCGUGUUGCCAUGGUAAUGGAUGAGCGACCACUUUUCUCUCUUCCAAGGUAAGCAGCUCCCUCAGCAAGCAAGCUCUGCUAAGAACUUCAAGCUCCGGUUGCAUUUUUAUAUGCAUGGACGGUUGUACAAUAUGUUCUUGCAAUAUUGUGUAAACAAGUCAUUUUUUUCAUGUGCCCAGGCAUGUUUCCGUUCCCAUUACCAGUCUUUAUUUCUUCACAGUAUCCACUUCCCCAACUGUAUUUUUCUGUGGCUUGCCUUCCAAGGCACAUUCUAGGCAGAAGUACUCAAAUCCAAGUCAUAAAACAUGCUUUUUUAGUGUGUUUGAUCACACAAAACAUGUUGUUGCUUGCUAGUGGCAUUUAUGUUGCUUAGGUGAAGGCUUCUGUCUCCGAUUCUGCUUAUGUUGCCCUCUUGGGCUUCAUUUUUGCGUGUGGUCAGCUGUGGUUGUAAUAACAUCUUAUAUUAUACAGUAGGACGGAGGGAGUAAUAAUUAAUAAACAUGUGUGCGUGUGGCGUGAGCUGCAAUUCGUGUAAGCAAGUUAGUCAAGUCAAACUGUGAAUGUACAGAAUAUUAAGGAACAGAGGUAGUCUUGAUAAAAUUAAGGGCAGACCGACAAAUCUUAAAGAUCAAUCACUUCUAGCAUAAUUUAGAGUCAAAAUGUUAGCCGUGUUCAAUAGAAUGUCCGAGGGAGCAUGGGCUGCACUGAAUUUCGACCGCAAAUGGGUAUUGGCACACCCUUGCUUGGCAUGCGAGUCUAGUACAUGAUUCUCCACGGACUGUUUAGUCCUUGACAUAUCCUCUAUCUGUCGCCACCAACUGGAAGGGCUAGGAUGAUAGCACAUCAAAGGCUCAAAGCUGGUGGCGACUGAGGCGGCCCAGGUCUCCAGCAUGGUGCCCACAGGCACUAGCAUUUGCAUCACAACAGUGGGUUCGUGCACAUAGAACAGAUUUCUAGAUAGAGGGACAUAGAAAGAGGGUGAAAGGGAGAAGAAAGGAGAAGAUACGGGGUACAAGAAAGCUGACAGAUAGGGUCCACUCAUAGCUCAGCAUAGUGUCCACGUACUCGUGCCAUGUAGGUUCUGACGUGCCGGUCCAGCAUGUCAGUUCCACUGUCAAAAUUCAUUGAAGUGACAUUCGGUGUUAUUUGUUAUGGUGUUUCCCAAACUUGAAAAUUAAACGAGAAGUGGCGGUUAUGUGAUAUAGGUGCCCUCAACGUGGUGGUUUUGUUUCUAGUUUAUACUCUUUUAAAAGACUCCUUUCUCAUCUGAUGUAGAAGAAAACUCCUUCCUGGUUUCAACGUGGUGUACAUUUUUCCUUCAUGCUUUGGCCGGCACCUAGAGCGAGGGCCUGGACUCAGAGUGACUGGCUGCAGGUUUACCAAUCCCUCAUCCUCACUCUCGCCUCAUAUCACUGGUCUACUCAUGCGUCCACGUUAUUUACGAAGCUUGCACACACCAUCUAGUUAUGGCACCAAACCAGUGCGAUGUGCCCCUUUCUAUAAAUGUAGAGGAACCACAAAGGCAGAAAAAACCCGGAGUUACUGGAUCUCUCUCCAGCUUUACGUCAUUCCUACAGCCCUUGAUUUAUCUCUGAAGAUCAUGAUAGUCUGAUGAUUGCUUUGAUAUUUUCUACAAUUUGAUUACUCAUAAAUUACAUGUAUACAGUAUUACCUAUGAGUAGUUAUGGAUAUAUCACACUUAUGGCUUUCUAUCUAGAUAUAUGUAGACCCUGCUCAAUGAAGCUAGCAAGCUGAUAAGCAUAUCCAACACUCCUUAUUCUCCUAACACUGAAGCUUAACUUUGCAUCGUUGCUGAGUAACAUAUCUGUCAGGAUUCAGAAGAAUCAAGCUUUUGACAGAGGAAUGAAUCCGUGCCUAAUAGCCGCCGACCAAACCUUUUCGAUGUCCAUCAUAUCAUCUCCGCACUCAUGCAUGUUCCAACCUUCCUGAGCAUGUAUUAUCCCAGCAAUGCGCCAUGCGCUCAUCACCCUUCUUGGAAGCCAAUUCUGUUCAUACGGCGAGUAGCAACACAUGUCAAUGUGGAUCACACUAUCUAGGCCUACUCCAAUGUUGGAUAAGAAGUUCGUGUACAUUAGAUGGUCCUAUUUCACUUUUCUUGAAAUUUACACAUACAGGUAAUGGAAACACAUUGCUAUUACCUCACAGGCAUGGACGUUCUGCAUCGUCUCCGGGAUUUUCAUUGCUGGGGUACUCAGGUAAGUGCAAUCCUUGCGUGUCUUCUUAAGGGGAAACUGUGAUGUAGGAAUAAAUAUUGUUCCACUUGGUGCCCUCCUUUGUUGUUUAUCAUCUAUGAUAUCUCCUAUCCAGAUCUGUUGUAGUGAAGGAGUAAUCAUGAAUAUUCUGCUUACCGUUGCUCCUUUAGUUAUUUCUUAUCUUUACUACUAUGCUAGUUACAUAGGUCUGCCUAGUAAUUUCUUAUCAUUUGUUGGCUGAUGACAUAGCAUAUCAUUUAGCAACCAAAAUUAUGUGAAUGAUUUUUACAAGGUUUAAGAAGCAUUCGUUGUCCUGUCAUGUCUGUACUAGUGAUACCCCAGUUAGAAAUAUCACUCUAGAAGGUCUGUCAGCGUCAGGAUUCCAGAACCAUUUUACAGAUAACUUUUACCUGGGGUAUUUCAUCACUGGAGAAUUUCAGAUAGGCAGUGCUGCUCUCUGGAACCCGCAAUUUAAGCAUGUCAUAUUCAUUCUUUUGGUUCAUGAUUACCUGCACAAAAUUGAGUUGUCGCAAUAUUUGGAGCACAAUUAGAGUCAAUAAAUUUUUAAUGACGUAAAAUGAGCUACCAAAUGAAUUCAACAAACAAGCAGCCUGAUGGGUACCUGGACACCUCUCUUACAUAAAGCUGUAGCUGUGGCAUGGGCUACCUUAGAACUGCUUCCAAACAGAAAAACUUGCUUUGUAUAUAAAGGGAUGCUCUUGAGCACCACUGCAGUUGCUAAGCCACUUCCAUCAACAAGACGAACUCUUAAUUUUGGAUACUUUUGUGUAAAUAAUUCACCACUUCCAUUGAGUUGUUUUGCCUGUACCAGCAAUAUAAGGGGUUAUCUCUUUGCCCAGCCCAGUUUGUGCGUACUGUGCACUAAACUUUGGCAGCAAAUUAUGUUAAAUGUCCUAUUAAUGCCAUAAACUGGUUAGAAGUAAUCAAAAGGUUUUCCCUACAUGUGUUUUGCCAAUAUGCCUGAAUAUGUUCUGAUCAGACCAGAAGUUAAGUGUCAUGUAAAAGCAAGUACAGAUAGGGAAUUAUGUGAUAUAAGUAUGGCCACCAUGCCUGAUUUAACAGUCCUAGACUAAGCACUCUGACCCCUCUUCCAUCAGCAUCUAGUAUUGCCUUCUCAAUUAAGCUGUUGAUGGAUUCUCUCUGCCAAAUCAAGCCAUACUGCACAGGAAAAAAAUGUUAUCAGUCUGCAAAACUGUCAAAGCUUAUGAUUCAUACAGAACAGAAAACGCAUUACAUGGAAGUUGUAUCUUGGUAUUGCCCAUGUUUGCAUCUUGAACUUCUUCAGUGUGAGACUUUCAAUCACAAACGCAGAAGAUCCAUAAACCCAUGCCAGUACCAUUGACAGCCAUGCCACUGGCCAUAUCAUCCACAUAUACCAUACAGGGCUUUCCGAUGGUCUGGAGGCUAUAGAGGCAAUCCCAACCCUAAGAUGAUAAGUCGAUCGCAAGUUGGUCAUAUGCGUCAAGUGGACAAGAUCUGGUGUUUCUUCUGUUCCUUUCAGUGUUCUCUCAUACAGCUCGUCAGUUGAGCUGUCCAUGGUGUUGUAUAUGUAAUCAUAGAACGGCAUGAACAACGAGUAGUUUGUACGAAACUGUGUAUGAUGUAGAGAAUGAAACCUGUGAAAAUGUUGGACAAAAUAAUGGUAAAUAAUUUUUUCCGUGGUUCUAUGAAGCUAUGGCCAACCAUUUUGACUUCUUGUGCAUAGAAUCCACUAGUCAGCUUUGAGUAAGAAUUCAUUAGCCCAAGUCUCAUCAUCUGGACGAGAUGGUAAGUUUUGCUGUGAAGACACUUACGAGGGAGUGUACAUGAGGUACUUGAGAGCAGGGAAGACAUGGAAGAUGUGCUUUGGCACCAGCUCAAAAUUACAGUGCCCCAUAUUGUUCAUGAAGUCAAUGUACGUGAUGUACAAGACAACAGCCAGGACAGAACCACACCCCAUAAAAAUUGGUGUCAUCAUGGGGAUCGAGAAAAGCAGGAAAUAAACCACAUGUUCAGCAAAUGGAUGGAUGACAGCUGCCAAUUAUAAGGUAAAGUUUGUGUUAGAAUUCAAGACAGAAACACUAAAUUUUCUUUAGAGAAGAAACACUAAUUGUGAACAUAACAAGCUUUAGAGUGUUUUUUUCCUCAAGCACACACCAAAGUGCAUGUCGUUUGUAUUAGAAGAAGCACGCCCGAGAAGGCACAAAGGGCUUACACGCGCCUUUUUUCGGAUGUAAAUAUGUCCCGGUUCAUAUGUGAUCAUUCUUUUUUUCUUAUGCAAAGCUCUUGGAUUCAUUGAGCAGUACCACUAAGGUAAUGAAACUGGUUUUUGUGGGAUCCACUGUUUGUGCUUAAGUUACUCUGAGUGCUAUUACUUACAGGUAAUGGGCUCUGUGACGAUGGAGGCGUGGUGGUGUGAGUGGUAGCGGGAGUAGAGGAAAUGGUGGUGCAGCGCCCUGUGGAACCAGUAAUAGAGGAACUCGACAGGUCCUAUGUGAAGCAAGGCGGUGAUGAUGGCUCCCUCUGUUAUCCACACGGGCAUGCGACUGACAUUCGGGACAGCUGCGUAGGCCAGGUAGAAGAACAACCCAUUGAAGAUGAUCUGGUCAUCCCUGUCAGAACAGCAAGGAUCAUUUUUCAUUACAAGAUAUCUGCACAUGUGUGAUUAUGGUGGAGACUUACCAGGAACUCUCCCGGUCCACCUGGUCGAAUUCAAGUCCACGGUCGACUAUGAUGUGCUUCCUGCGUGCGGUCUGGUGGCGAGACAAGCUGAUCCAGAUCUGGUUGUGGAUCAUCCUCAGCAGCAGAGCUGGUAAUAUGGCGGCGUAUGCCAGGCUCAUGUCUCCCCACCCCUUGGUGACCACCCUGUGCGCAGUGUGCAACGCCGCAGGCGCCAAGACCAGGUACUGUGUAUAUAGAGCAUCAGGUUAAAUGGAAAUACUGAUGGGUGGGAAUAA